AUGCAGGUACAGUUACAAUAURACUGAAGUGUUUUAUUGUCAUUUCCCCUGCUUAAAACAUUUGAUACAUUACUAUCUCUGUCUAGUUCAUUCCAUAAGACAGAGAUGCUUGGUGACAAACAU
rnacentral:snoRNA from 1 species